rnacentral:lncRNA from 1 species
UCGAGGGUUGCUUUUGGAUUAGCAUCCUUAGAAAUCGAAGGUCUACAGUCUUGUAUAUUUUCGGUUAUUUUGGAGCCCACAUGUCAUUGUAAAAUAUUUUUGUAUACUUGGUUUAGUGUGCUAUUAUAUAUAUGAAUUUAUUUUGCUCUUGCGCUACAAAAUUUGUUUAUGUAGGAUUCUAUAAAUAUUGUUUUAUAAGAAAA